UACGUAGGGUGCAAGCGUUAAUCGGAAUUACUGGGCGUAAAGCGUGCGCAGGCGGUUGUGUAAGUUUGUCGUGAAAUCCCCGGGCUCAACCUGGGAAUUGCGAUGAAGACUGCACGGCUAGAGUGUGUCAGAGGGGGGUAGAAUUCCACGUGUAGCAGUGAAAUGCGUAGAUAUGUGGAGGAACACCGAUGGCGAAGGCAGCCCCCUGGGAUAACACUGACGCUCAUGCACGAAAGCGUGGGGAGCAAACAGG
rnacentral:rRNA from 1 species